rnacentral:misc_RNA from 1 species
AAUUUUUGGGAUAAAGACUUAGCUGAGUUGAGUUGAUGAUAAGUCUUGAUUUCUGUUUUUGGAUGUGAGGUUUAUUACUGUGUAUUAACACUGGGGAUUUUCUCCCAGGGACUAGAGUCUGAUAUUGGUUUUAACUUUUAAGUUGUGGUCAUAAUGUCUCCAAAAGUAAGCCAUUGCAGAUGUUAAUUAAUGGUCACUAUUGUAGAAAAUUUUUUUCUCUUACAAAAUUUAUAAGCAAUAGCUCAUUGCAUCAAAGACAAGAAUUUAACAUAAGGUCAAUAUUAGUUCUUUUCAUAAAUUUUGAUUGUUUUUGUUGAGAAGGAUUCUCAAUAAGAAAAAAU